rnacentral:rRNA from 1 species
UACGGAGGAUCCAAGCGUUAUCCGGAUUUAUUGGGUUUAAAGGGUGCGUAGGCGGUUUAUUAAGUCAGGGGUGAAAGACGGCAGCUUAACUGUCGCAGUGCCUUUGAUACUGAUGAACUUGAAUGUACUAGAAGUAGGCGGAAUGUGACAAGUAGCGGUGAAAUGCAUAGAUAUGUCACAGAACACCGAUUGCGAAGGCAGCUUACUGGGCUGUAACUGACGCUGAGGCACGAAAGUGUGGGGAUCAAACAGG